rnacentral:tRNA from 1 species
GUUUAUUUGGCGGAAGGCUGGUGAUCUCCUGGCCGUCAAAGAUGACCGUACCCUGAUCUGGCCGUUCGAAUCCGCCGAUAAUCC